ensembl:lncRNA
UUAAAACUUACAAGCUGUCAUUUUUCUUUACCAGCAGUCACUUGCCUGGCAAAUGCUCCCUUUGGCUGGGCACUCAUGCCUCUGGAAAUACUCCUGUCAGCCGCAGGGUGAGGAAGGGAAACAGGAUUCAAGCACAAAACAAGAGGCAGACUGAGGGCAUAAGCAGAAGCAGAGGUUUCAAGAGCUUAUGGGUUUGUGUUUGCCACUAGCAGUGUACUCUGGAAACACUAAAAUUUAAUGCUGAAAGAAGAUGAUUCUUUACAGUGAUAUAAAGCAAAAAAAGAAGUUUGCAUCUUUUACGUCUAAGUUUGCCUUUGUUAAUUGAAGUCGCUUCACCUCAAACCUUCUUCAUCUUUUGGAUUAAUACAAUUAGAGACUUGUUCCUGGUACUGCAACCUGAGCUCCAUUUAAUACAUGUUAAAUGGAUUAAGUACAGAAUAUAUGCUGAAAUAUUCAAUUAUAAUUAUCUCUAUAAUAAUUCAGCUCUAUAACAAUACAGAAAAUGUCUAAUAUUCAAUUCCAGCUGGCAGUGAAAUCUGAAGACUGAGUAGAUUAAGAAGAAAAUAUGUAACAUCUUGGCUCCCUAAGGACAAAGCGUAUCUCAAAGCUUAGCAUAAAUAAUAUUUUAGGAGCCAUGGCUGACUAAAAUAAACUUUGUACGUCUGCCCUUACCUUUCUGCCAACUACAAUCCAACUAAUUUCAUUUUGAAAUGUAAACUUUAAAAAGAAAUCAGUAAGUGGCACUUCAGAAGAAAGAUGAUAACGCUACUGGAAAAGUUACACUCUCAAAGGACAAUUAAGUAUUGAGUUUUGCCUUUUGCCUAUGAAUACCCUACAUAGCAAUGGAGAGUUCUGGUCUGAUUCUUUAAAAUGAGAUUUUGUUCCCAGGCAGCAAAAUUCACAUGCUUCUUUCAGUUCCUCCUCAAGCAACAGCAAAGCCUGAAAAAGAAAGCUCUGGACCAAGGCAGCUAACAGAAGGAAAUCCUGUGUCUGCUUGUCCUGGCAGUCCUUCAGCAAUUUCACCCAUUUUUAAAUUGCACCCAUUUUUAAGAAGAAUAGAAAUGAUGACCCAGGGAACUACCAGCCUGUCAUCCUCAACUCUGUGCUGGGGAAGGUCAUGGAACUGAUUCUCCUGGAAGCUGUGCUAAGGCAUAUGGAAGAGAGGGAGGUGAUACUUGAUAACCAACAUGGCUUCACCACAGGCAAGUCCUUCCUGGAAAACUUAGUGGAUCUGCCUUAACAUCCUUCUCUCUAAAUUGGAAGUAUAUCAGUUUGAUGGGUGGACUGUUCAAUGGAUGAGGAACUGGUUGCAAGAUUGUACCCAGAGAGUGAUGGUCAGUGGUUCAGUGUCCAGAUGGAGAUGGUGACAAGUGGCGUCCCUCAGGGGUUACCUCUGCACACAUCAGUCUCUGCCAGCCAAGAGUGCCAUGCAUUAUUACUGAAAGAGGCUGUGUAUGAGGAUAUAUGGGACUAAAAGUUGUACAUAAGGUAAUGGAAGAACUGCAUAUCCAAAAUCUGGAUUUAAUGAGACAUCCUUCUCUAGCUGACAAUCCAGAUUCCUUGUUUGAAUUUGUUACUAAGUUCAAUUACAUUUCUGUGAUGAGAAUCUGCCUCCUCCCAGAUGAGCAGCAUCACACUCCCAAAUACCUUUUUGGUGCAAGGAGAGCAUUUAAAGGAAGCACAAACAGAGCAACUGUAAAAGGGCCCUGAUUUUUCUUACCUUUUUCUGAAGUGCAAGGCUAGUAAUUACGAAAGAAGCUGCUUACUGACUUCAACAAGGAUGGCAGAAUCAGACUCAUUCCCCUAGCCUCACUUUGCAGAUCUGGUUGCAGUGAAGACCUUGGCAAACGUCCUCUAAAGAACUUUGCUGAUGUGGCUGAAGACAUAGCCAUGGCUGUCCUUGUGCCUUGCCCUUCUUCUGUGACUUGCCUCAUCCCCACAAGCAGGCAGCAGUGAACAGCCUUUGGAAGUGACUUUGUUGAAAGUUUGGGCUGUGCCUUGGCAGAGUUAAGACACAGGCACACGUUGCUCCUGCCUCUCCUACAGGAUCCAUAACCCCAAGAUGACAGAAGGGACAGCCAGGAGACCAACAGUACCUGAAUAUGCCCCUGCUAGAUUUACCAGAGACUGACUGAUAAGAAGUCCCUUAAAACUAUCUUGGUAUACAGUUGAAGGGCUGCAGUCUCCUGUAGCAUAAAUCAGUACCCAAUGCUGUCGAAAUCCAUGAAGCUAUGCCAGGUUUACAUCAGUUAACUCACUCCAAAACUGUUCAUAGCUCAUGCCCCGGUAAAGAUUUAGAAGCAGAAGGCAAGGUUCCCCAUACUCUGCACUGACCAGAUGCAUGUCAGGACAGGGUGUAUAUUUCCCUCUAUGGAGCUGCAGGUCCAUCCCUUCCUGGCCUCACAUUACAUCCAAACAGAGCACCCACAACCUUCCCCAGUGUGAUUUGCAGUCCCUCAGUAAGCUGAACACAACAUUAUGGGAAUUCAACUCUUGCCUAAUUAAAACGAUGCAAUCAACUGGUUCACAAGCGUUUUAGGAUCUUCUUAAUAACUCUAUUUUUAUCAGCUUGAGUGCCAGACACUGUAGCAUGACGUGAUCAUUAGUGCUGAUAUUUGGAGUCAGGAAAGUCUUUUCUUACUGUAUUUUCUUCCCUUGUGAGUAUUUGCUCUGUUAACCCACUCCCUCUGCCAUUACUGUGCCAGCUCCCAUUUGCUGCUAACAUCCAAUAUAAAGUAAUUUGCUCUAAAUUACUUUAAAAGUAUGGAUGGCCAUGCUUCCAAAAAUACACUCUAAAUAGGCAGGUGUGAUUUUAAGAAAAAUGAAAGAAAAAAAAUUAGGACUGCUUUAAGUAGAAAAAAAAUAAAUGGGAAAGAAGUUUCUUAGGAGAUACCUUUUUUGUGUGUGGAGGGGGGGGGAAAUGUAUCAUUUUGUUUUCGUUUCUUAAUUCAUAG